UACGGAGGGUGCAAGCGUUACUCGGAAUCACUGGGCGUAAAGCGCGCGCAGGCGGGCUGAUAAGUUGGAUGUGAAAGCCUACGGCUCAACCGUAGAACUGCAUCCAAAACUGUCAGUCUAGAGUCUGGGAGGGGAAGAUGGAAUUAGUUGUGUAGGGGUAAAAUCCGUAGAGAUAACUAGGAAUACCAAAAGCGAAGGCGAUCUUCUGGAACAGUACUGACGCUGAGGCGCGAAAGCGUGGGGAGCAAACAGGAUUAGAAACCCUAGUAGUCC
rnacentral:rRNA from 1 species